UCCCUGGUGACUCAGACGGUAAAGUGUCUGUCUACAAUGCAGGAGACCCAGGUUCGAUCCCUGGGUUGGGAA
rnacentral:tRNA from 1 species